rnacentral:lncRNA from 1 species
UAAUUUUAUUAAGAGAAGGGGAAAAAAGUUCAAACUACCCCUAUUUGAAAAGAUUUAGGGUUCGGGGGUUAGUUACAUAAAGGGAAGGUAUUAGCACCCUCUAUGUCCGCAGUACUCUACGGGAACCUCUUGGUUUUAUUUAAUUCAAUGUGCUAUAACUUGCUUGCUUUUGAAAAGAAGGAAUUAAUGUGAUGAAAAAGAAAAUAAAGUGAGACCUAAUUUAUCUACAUUUUUUAUUGUUUGGAAGGACGAGUGUCCUCUGCCUACGUACCCGUGAAGGAUCAAAACCUCGUAGUUCGGGGUAGAAAACAACGUUUGAUUGGUUUUGUGUUUUUUAUUAGUUUUGAAAAAGGUUUUAAA